rnacentral:SRP_RNA from 12 species
GGCGCCGGCGUCUCCUCCAGCCCGGCUUCGGCCGAUUGUGCUGAAGACAAUGACGGCGGAACCGGCGUCACAGGCCGUCUGAUCCCUUGGACCGGUCGUGGAGCCCUGGCCCCGAAGAACUCGCGGAAGGGCCGAGAAGCCGGAAGGGAUAG